rnacentral:sRNA from 1 species
AGUAAGGAAAAGGCGUGGGUUUUGGAGGUGGACACCUCACCCCAAAUUUUUAUUCUGUUACACCCUCAAGCAAGGGAUCACAUAUCUGAUCCUGCCUCACCCUCGGGUAAGAAGGAAAUAGGGGGAGAGGCUCAGCUAAGCCUCCCAACUUCUUCCUUCUCCCUCAGUCUGUAAGUACACUGUUCACGACCAGUGUGCCAUGAAAGCCCUGCCUUGUGAAGUCAGCACCUAUGCCAAGUCUCGGAAGGACAUUGGUGUCCAAUCACAUGUGUGGGUGCGAGGAGGCUGUGAGUCCGGGCGCUGCGACCGCUGUCAGAAAAAGAUCCGGAUCUACCACAGUCUGACGGGGCUGCAUUGUGUAUGGUGCCACCUAGAGGUCAGUUUGGGAGCCAUCCAUUCUGGGUACGUCUUACGGCCCCGCAGAGCUGCCUUCUCCACCGGCUUCCCAGCCACACCU